GUGAUAUACAGACGUGCACAGUUGUUUGAUUUGAAGUAAUUUACAUACAUCUUUCAUCACCUUGGACAUGAACACUGUACCUUGGUCCGACAGGAUCUCUUGGGGUAAACCUACCCUGGAAAACAUAUGUAGCAGCUCUCUAGCGAUGUUCUUGCUGUUGGCUCUAUGCAGGGGAAUAGCCUCGGGAUACCUGGUGGCAUAAUCCACUACGACCAGUAUAUGUUGAAAACCUUUUGCCGACCGUGGUAUGGGUCCAAUUAAAUCCAUAGCAAUUCUAUCGAAUGGCGUGUCUAUCACUGGCAAUGGGAUUAAGGGAUUUCGUAAAUCAGGGAGGGGUGAGGUUCUCUGACAGUCAGGACACCCCUGACAAUAGCUUAUCACAUCCGCAUAUACCCCUGCCAGAAGAAGCGUUUUAACACCCGUUCUUGUGUUUUUUCUCUCCGUAAAUGUCCUCCCAACAAGUGGCUAUGGGCCAGGUUCAGCACUGUCCGCCGAAAAGGGGUUGGAACCAACAGCUGCUCCACUGUGACGUCAUUGGACUUCGUCACCUGGUAUAAGAGAUUGUUUCUCAUGGAAAAAUGGGGAAAGGUGUGUACAUGAGCAUGAUUUUCAGGUACACCUUCUAUUACCUUGACAUUCCGUCUGGCGUUCUGUAGUGUGGGGUCUUCCAGCUGAGCCGUACCAAACCUUCCCCUAUACUGUGUUAACUUGGGAGGAAAAAUCUCAUUGGCAUAAGAAUUUCCAGGCCCCUCGCCCUGCGCUUCCUGUUCCUCCUCUUCCACCAUUUCUGGCCCAUUUAUACCCACUGGAUUUCCUGCCUCUUCGUCGUUUGCUCCACCAUCUUCUCCCAGGAGAACUCGAGUGUCGGCUACGGGAGUCGGGCAGGUAAGUACCAAAUUGAUAAUUUUCCUUUCAUAGGUCAGGGAGUUCUUUGGUAGCGGUUUCUUUUCACUGGAAAAUGUAAAAUGGUACCUAGCAUGCCCUAUUACUGGCACAGCCAACUCCUUUGUCCGGUAGUCCUUUCCACAAUUCUUGAAAAUAUGGACAGUCGCGACCCAGUAGCAUGGGAUAUGGUAGGUUCUCAAUCAACCCUAGGUUACCUCUGAACCGCCCUCUGGUGGUGUUAAUCUCUACAUCUGCGGUUGUAUAAGUUUUGGUGUCCCCGUGUACACAGGUGAUGUCCAUGGUUGGAGCGGUAGUCCUCAGUGGCUGGGUUAAUAGUGAAGGCAUGAUGAGGGAGACCAUGCUCCCAGAGACUAGAAGAGCAUCAACUCCUUUCCCUUGGACUGUACCCGACGGAGGUACGGUGGGUGGCGGUGGGCUUGGACAUGGGUAGAAAUGACAUGGCAGUGGUGUAGAUUAGAAAUGUUGACCUGCAUGAAUUCCUCCUUCUUGGGACAGUUCCAUGCGAUGUGUCCUAUUUCACCACAACGGUAGCACUCCUGGGGGUCGGUAUCCACCCCUCUAUUCCUCGUCUUUGCUUCAGCUUGGAAAACCGGGUACUGGCGCCCACGUUCCCCAUCCGCUCUUUGGAUUCUUGCUUUCCAAACCCGGGGAGUCUGCAGUUGAGAUGUCUUUCUUCCUCCUCUUUGAGGCCUCCGUUUUCCUGGGUGGUUCUGUUUAGCUGACUGGGUUUGAGCAGUUCUUCCGUUGCUCGACAUCUCUCAACGAGGUCCACCACUCCGUCCGCUAUGGUGGGACUGCCCAGGCUGACAAUCUUCUUUAACUCGUAAGGUAAGGCUCGGAUGUAGUGGUCAAUCACUAUUCUUUCCACGAUGUCCCCAGUACUGAGGGUUGCGGGCUCUAGCCAUUUUUUUGCUAGGUGGACCAGAUCAAACAUCUGUGACCAGGGUGCCUUCUCGGGCUGAUUUGUCCAAGUGUGGAACUGCUGUGCCCUCAAAGAGACAGUGACUCCCAACCGUGCUAAUAUUUAGUUAUUCAGUGUGUCAUAGUCAUUGGCUUCCGUUGCUUCCAGAUCAGACCACACCUGUUGUGCGUCCCCACAAAGAAAUGGAGCCAGUAUUCCUGCCCAUUUUAUCUGUGACCAUGCCUCUCGUUCUGCCGUGCGCAUAAAUGUCUUGAGGAAAGCCUCAACGUCAUCAUCCGGCUUCAUUUUCUGCAGAUACCGAGUGGCCACAAUGGGUAGACCAGCGGUCUGUUGAGCCAUUUUCACAGCAGUGAUUUCAGCAGUUAUCUUUCGCCAGUCCAUAUUCAUCUGCAGUUGACACUUCCUUUGUUCCUCCAAUAACAAGUGAUUGGUUUCCGCUUGCUGCCGAUUGGCUUCUUGUUGCAGGUUAUUGGAAGUGACUAAUUGCUUCAACAGAUCUUCCAUGGUUGUCUAUCCUUAAACAACCCCCCCAAAAAAUUGGUGUGGCUGUAUGUGUAUCCUCACUACCUUGCCCGCAUUCUCUACCAAUGUGGCGGUUUCGGCACCAAGAUCUUUGUAAGGCAGGGUUUACACAUACAAACACAUGCCACCAGUCCAGGUGAAGGGUUCAACCGGUUUAUUACUGUCAUGUUUUGGCAGCGUUCCUGACAUACCAAUCUCAAAACAGACAGAGUAAACACUUCAUCACCAGUGGACGGUCCUCCAAUCUUGGUCUUUGAAACUGCUACAAUAUCAUAAGGAAAGACAUGCACAAGUAAUAUAAUAUCAAUAAAUCAAGAACUUUAUUGAAAUAACUUUAUUGAGGGGAAUACAUUGUCUCACUCAAGCCUAAAAAACUAAGUGCAAGUUACAUCGAAAUUGGAAUUACAAAAUAUGAUAAGAAUACAGCAUAUACAGUGGGGAAAAAAAGUAUUUAGUCAG